rnacentral:rRNA from 1 species
AUUGAACGCUGGCGGAAUGCUUUACACAUGCAAGUCGAACGGUAGAGGGGGCAACCCCUCGAGAGUGGCGAACGGGUGAGUAAUAUAUCGGAACGUGCCCAGUCGUGGGGGAUAACGUAGCGAAAGUUACGCUAAUACCGCAUACGAUCUACGGAUGAAAGCGGGGGAUCGCAAGACCUCGCGCGAUUGGAGCGGCCGAUAUCAGAUAGGUAGUUGGUGGGGUAAAGGCUCACCAAGCCAACGAUCUGUAGCUGGUCUGAGAGGACGACCAGCCACACUGGCACUGAGACACGGUCCAGACUCCUACGGGAGGCAGCAGUGGGGAAUUUUGGACAAUGGACGCAAGUCUGAUCCAGCCAUUCCGCGUGCAGGAUGAAGGCCCUCGGGUUGUAAACUGCUUUUGUACGGAACGAAAAGGUUUCCAUUAAUACUGGGAGCUCAUGACGGUACCGUAAGAAUAAGCACCGGCUAACUACGUGCCAGCAGCCGCAGUAA